rnacentral:rRNA from 1 species
UUACUCGAGAGUUUGAUCCCGGCUCAGAAUCAACGCUGGCGGCGCGCUUAACACAUGCAAGUCGAACGAGAAAAUUCCCUUCGGGGAGUGAGUAAAGUGGCGAACGGGUGAGUAACACGUGGGUUACCUGCCCUCGAGUGGGGAAUAACUCUGGGAAACCGGGGCUAACACCGCAUACGAUCCUUCGGGAUGAAAGUCUUCGGACGCUCGAGGAGGGGCUCGCGGCCGAUUAGCUUGUUGGCGGGGUAAUGGCCCACCAAGGCAAAGAUCGGUAGCCGGCCUGAGAGGGCGCACGGUCACACUGGCACUGAGACACGGGCCAGACUCCUACGGGAGGCAGCAGUGAGGAAUCUUGGACAAUGGGGGAAACCCUGAUCCAGCGACGCCGCGUGAGUGAUGAAGCCUUUCGGGGUGUAAAGCUCUUUCAGCGGGGACAAUCAUGAUGGUACCCGCACAAGCAGCUGCGGCUAACUACGUGCCAGCAGCCGCGGUAAUACGUAGGCAGCAAGCGUUGUUCGGAAUUACUGGGCGUAAAGCGAGUGUAGGCGGUCUGCCAAGUCUGUUGUGAAAUCUCCCGGCUCAACUGGGAGGGUGCGUCGGAAACUGGCAGGCUCGAGUGCGAGAGGGGAGAGUGGAAUUCCUGGUGUAGCGGUGGAAUGCGUAGAUAUCAGGAGGAACACCGGUGGUGAAGACGGCUCUCUGGAUCGCCACUGACGCUGAGACUCGAAAGCGUGGGGAGCAAACAGGAUUAGAUACCCUGGUAG